AGAAAUCGAAGAGAGAGAGAUCAUAGAUGGAGACGAGAGGGAUCUGCGGGACAGUGCCGAUGACGUCUCCUUCUUCUCCAACAGCUGGCGUAAAGACUCGCUCAUUGUUUAUGGACGGCAUCGGCAACGACAAGAAACGCACCUCCGAUCCGUCUACAAGGUCUCCUUCUCGCAAAACCCUAACCUCUGUCUCCGAUCUCAAGGAUCUUCUGUCUUCGCGCCUCGAUGAUGUGAGGAGAAAUCUUAUCGAUUAGUCGCACUCAGAAAUUCUCAAGGACUCAUAAGCCUCCCACUCUCACCUCCACAAACGCUUGAAGCUUACUUUCACAGGCACAAGAUAUUUUGUUGAAGUGUUGGAAAGAUAAAAGAGCUUUGACUAAUAUACAGAUAAGAGCGUCCAAGCAAGUGAUGGAUGAAACCGAGAUAGAAUAUAAGAAGAUCAAUGGGCUGAUCAGUGAAACUCAGGAAGCAAUGAAGGUUUCAUAUGCAGAGUUCCUGUCAGAGGCACAGACCGCUGCAUCUCGUGGUACGCUUGUAUUAUUUUCCCUUUUCUCUGAUCUUUGAUGGUUUGAUAUUAAAAUGACUCGAAUGCAAAAGACCUGAACUCUAAAUUGUGACUGCCUGGGUGCGAUGAACUUUGUUAAGCAUAUUUGUCAGUCCUGUUGAUGAAUUCCAUGUAAUAUCCUCUGUCAAAAGUUGGCCUUACCUGAAAGAUAACUGAAUAUAAACUGCUGCAUUCAAAGGGGUUGUCACAGGCGUCCUCUGUUGAUAGGUUUACAGAGUAAUGUUAAUCCUAUGCAGAAUUUUAGAUCAAAUCCUCUGUGCAUGUGGAUAUAAGCUUGUUUAUUAUUAAUUCAAUUUUUUCAGUGUGCAAAACAUUCAUCACUGAGCUUUCAAAAUCUUUUGAGGAAAUUGAUGGUCUCAGGAAGCGUUUUGGAUCUUCAUCAACUUAGGGUUAUCUCAAUUCUCGACCGAGCUACUUACAAAGAGAAAUUCCUUAGACAAUUGCAUAGAGAGCCGGUCAUGUAUAUUACAGAAAUAGUGGGCUUGAUGGUCUUGAAAGAAUCUGCGCUUUUAUUUCCUGUUGCCUUAUUUGUAAAAUAAUCGUAGGAAAAAGGAUUGCCGUGGCGUCAAUGGGUCUCAAGGAGACAUGGACCCUUGACCUUCCGAUUCACCCAUCCCACCUGUCGAGUAAAAUAAACUAGACUUAAGUACCAAGCAAAAUCUAAUAGGCUUCACGGCCAAAUUACUGGGUAGAGUGGUACGAACAGAUAGAAGGCCCAAUAGUAAAGCCUUAGCAGAUGAUUGGGCCACAUACGAAGUACAAUAUUUCAAGGCCCAAAUUACUGGAUUUAGUGGUCCAAACUUUAAACAGAUAAAAGGCCCAAUAGUAAGGAACAUAUUGGGCUUUCAUAUUUGGCCCAUAAUCUGUUUACGCUUUAUUAUUGGAAUAGAUUAAUCUGUUUACUGGA